ACAGGAGUUUCUGCGAGAGAAUUUUUGUAUGUGGUUAAUUAGCUCCUCUGCUCUAUCUAGAAUUGUUCUAGCUGUGUACCAUCUUUCAGGAAACCAGUGAAGAAGCCGCAUUCUAAGCUCUGGGUGAUGGGAGACCAGAAGUGGCAGCUUGUAAAGAGAGAGACACAGCAAGAGAGGGAACACCAGCAGGUGGAGUGGAAGAGGGA